UAAUCCGCUAUUUUGUACAUUUGUAAACAAUAUGACAACGAUACCGAAUCAAUAUUGUGUUGUGUUGCCAGAUGGUAAAUUUCAUAACUGAACAUAACUUCGCGAUUGCGGCGUUGCGUCGAUUUUUCUUACGAAACCUGCUGUACGUUCAUUCAGAUGUGUGUGCAAGACCCUCUGAGCACUUGCACUGCCGGCGAUACACUCAGCGAUCCUCUUCUCAGCGAAGUGUAUCACCGAAAUUUUCCGGUCAAAUUUUGAGUAAUAAACGCGUGUCUUACUUGAAGUUGGCGGAAUCAUCGAUUGUAUCGACAGAGCUAUAUCAUUUUUAAAAAGAAGACAA